rnacentral:rRNA from 1 species
GAUGAACGCUGGCGGCGUGCCUAAUACAUGCAAGUCGAGCGAACGGACGAGAAGCUUGCUUCUCUGAUGUUAGCGGCGGACGGGUGAGUAACACGUGGAUAACCUACCUAUAAGACUGGGAUAACUUCGGGAAACCGGAGCUAAUACCGGAUAAUAUUUUGAACCGCAUGGUUCAAAAGUGAAAGACGGUCUUGCUGUCACUUAUAGAUGGAUCCGCGCUGCAUUAGCUAGUUGGUAAGGUGACGGCUUACCAAGGCAACGAUGCAUAGCCGACCUGAGAGGGUGAUCGGCCACACUGGAACUGAGACACGGUCCAGACUCCUACGGGAGGCAGCAGUAGGGAAUCUUCCGCAAUGGGCGAAAGCCUGACGGAGCAACGCCGCGUGAGUGAUGAAGGUCUUCGGAUCGUAAAACUCUGUUAUUAGGGAAGAACAUAUGUGUAAGUAACUGUGCACAUCUUGACGGUACCUAAUCGGAAAGCCACGGCUAACUACGUG